AGGACGAACGCUGGCGGCGUGCUUCAUACAUGCAAGUCGAGCGUGAACCCAGGGCUUGCCCUGGGGGAAAGCGGCGAACGGGUGAGUAACACGUGGGCAACCAACCCCAGCCUCUGGGAUAACCUCGGGAAACCGGGGCUAAUACCGGAUACUCUCGAAGGGUCGCAUGGCCCAACGAGGAAAGCUCCGGCGGACUGGGACGGGCCCGCGGCCUAUCAGCUUGUUGGCGGGGUAAAGGCCCACCAAGGCGACGACGGGUAGCUGGCGUGAGAGCGUGACCAGCCACACUGGGACUGAGACACGGCCCAGACUCCUACGGGAGGCAGCAGUAGGGAAUCUUGCGCAAUGGGCGAAAGCCUGACGCAGCGACGCCGCGUGGGGGAUGAAGGCUCUUGGGUCGUAAACCCUUUCGGCAGGGAAGAAGCGAAAGUGACGGUACCUGCAGAAGAAGCCCGGCCAACUACGUGCCAGCAGCCGC
rnacentral:rRNA from 1 species